AUGGUAAAAGGGGAAUUCAAGCACACAAAAGAUAAAGCGAGGAAAAGAAUGAAUGAUUGGACAGAAAAAUAUUCUUCCAGUGGAGCUAAGGAGACACUAAUUAAAUCAGUGGCCCAAGCGAUUCCCACUUCUGCAAUGAGUGUUUUCAAGUUCUCAGCAACCCUCUAUGAGGAGCUCAUGCACAUGACCAGAGACUUUUGGUGGGGAGAUGAUGAAGAUCGCCGACGUAUUCAUUGGUUGAGUUGGGAGAAACUUACAAAACGUAAAAGCCAAGGAGGUAUGGGAUUCAAAGAUCUUAAAGUUUUUAACCAGGCUCUUCUCGCUAGGCAAGCCUGGCGACUGAUUGCACAUCCUGACAGCUUGUGCGCGAGAGUACUUAAGGCAAAAUAUUACCAUGGGGCUGAUCUGCUAGACACGGCGUUUAUUCAAAAUGCAUCGCCGGGUUGGCAGGGCAUCAUGCAUGGUUUGGAACUCCUUAAAAAAGGAUGUAUUUGGCGCAUCUGCAACGGAAAUAGUGUCCGCAUUUGGAGAGAUAAUUGGAUCCCGAGAGGAAACAUGAAAAUAAACACGAACCCAACAAGGUCCCGAACUCGGUGGGUAGCAGACCUCAUCGACCAGGAGAGUCACACUUGGAAGGAGGACUAUAUCAUGCGUAUAUUUACACGCGAAGACGCAAAUGAUAUUUUAAGUAUCCGACUACCAAAUUAUGAUGAUGAGGAUUAUAUUGCGUGGCAGCCUGAAAAAAAUGGAAUUUUCAGUGUUCGUAGCGCAUAUCGGUUAGCCAUGGACGAAAAGGGUUCUGUGGUGAUUGGGUCCAGCCACAAUACCCAAGGGGAUCGCAGUAUUUGGAAUAAUAUCUGGAAGACAAAUGUACCCCAAAAAGUACGUAUUUUUACAUGGAGACUAGCAACGGAGUCACUGGCGGUUCAAACUAAUAGAUUUCGUCGCAUCCCAGGCCUCACCCCGAUUUGUAAUGUAUGUGGGGCCGAGGAUGAAACAGGCUUCCAUAUGGCACAUCGAUGCACAUUUGCAAGGGCCUUGUGGCACGAACUCAAGGAGGUAUGGAACCUGCCCCCUGAGCAGGAAGUAGAAUAUACUGGAAGGGAUUGGGUCCUAAUCCUGCUAGAUAAGGUGAGUGAAGAUAUGAAACAAAAAUUUAUGCUAUUUUGGUGGCGUGUUUGGCACCAUAUAAAUGACGCGAUCUUCGCAAAAGGUAAAGCGAAAAUUUCCCACUCUGUUCGUUUUCUGCAAAACUACCUUGCAAACAUCUGA
rnacentral:rRNA from 1 species